rnacentral:misc_RNA from 1 species
UGAUCCCAUCACAAAGAAGCCUUUUGUAAAUUCAGUAGUAUCACUUACUGGUUUUGCUCUUGUUGGAGGGCCAGCAAGACAGGACCAUCCAAGGGCUAUCGAGGCAUUGACAAAGCUUGAUGUGCCUUACAUUGUGGCGUUGCCUUUGGUCUUCCAGACAACAGAAGAAUGGUUGAACAGCACUUUGGGGUUGCACCCAAUUCAGGUGGCUCUACAAGUUGCUCUACCUGAGCUGGAUGGAGG